rnacentral:rRNA from 1 species
UUUCGCAAUGCCCGAAAGGGUGACGAAGCGACGCCGCGUGUGGGAAGAAGGCCUUCGGGUUGUAAACCACUGUCGGGAGUUAAGAAAUGCAAGGAUAUUAAUAGUGUCUUUGUUUGACUAAGGCUCCGGAGGAAGCCACGGCUAACUCUGUGCCAGCAGUCGCGGUAAUACAGAGGCGGCAAGCGUUGUUCGGAAUUAUUGGGCGUAAAGAGCACGUAGGCGGCUAUGUAAGUCGGUUGUGAAAGCCUUCCGCUCAACGGAAGAACAGCAUCCGAUACUACAUGGCUUGAGUGCGGGAGGGGAGAGUGGAACUUCUGGUGGAGCGGUGAAAUGCGUAGAUAUCAGAAGGAACGCCGGCGGCGAAAGCGGCUCUCUGGCCCAUAACUGACGCUGAGUGUGCGAAAGCUAGGGGAGCAAACGGGAUUAGAUACCCCGGUAGUCCUAGCCGUAAACGAUGGGCACUAAGUAGAGGGGUUUU